rnacentral:lncRNA from 1 species
CGCCCCGCCCACCAGCUUCCGUUCUCCCGCCCCGCCUUCGUCCCCGCCCACCAAAGGCCUGCCCAUUCCGCCCUCGGCCCCGCCCACCAAUGGUCGGCCCCGCCCCCGCCCCCACGUGCAGGACUUCCGGCGGGCUGGCUGGAUUCUUGUGGAGACCUGAUCCCCGAUCGUGCUUACAAUGGGGAGCCCGUACGCGCCCACGGGGGGCUGAGCGCUCAGCUGUGAGCAGAGCGGCCGGGGCGGGCUCUGGCCAAACGACCUCCAAAAUCUUGGGCUGCACCCGGGGCCGUGUCUUAGGUAACAGAUCCGGCUCUGCCUGACUCGGGGGCGAUGGGACCAGACCCUUGCUCAAUCCCCAUGGCCAUCCUUACCCCUGCGCGGGAUCAGGAGCUGGAGAAGGCCCAGGAAGCUGCCCCAGCGAUCGGGGCACCCCCUGGGUCCUCACGGACCCCCACUGGAGGGCUAAAGGAGAAUUUUUAAAGCAUGGGAAAUUGGUGUUCCCUUGGGAACGUCAUGCAGGAGAGCGGGUAGCGACCCAUCGCUCAGGCAGGUCCUCUGCUGUGCACCACCGGUACGGGUCUGUCCAGAGGGGAGAGAAGAAAAGGGAAGACGGCUUUCCGGGGCUUAGCUGUCGGGGCCGUCCUCUGCGGCGGGCGGUUCAAUCAAUGGGAAGAAACAGAGACGCCUUCAANNNNNNNNNNNNNNNNNNNNNNUGCAGAUAGCGACUGCGUUUAGUUAGCGAGCGCAUCCCCGACUACAGCCGCUGGGAACCGGCGCGGCCUCGGAGACCUUGGGCGGGGGGAGCUGAGCCGAGGGAGGCGCACAUGGCUCCGACCGCCCGGCCUCGUUUUCUUUCCAUGUACAGUGAAUUCCCAGAAGGGUUCCGAGGCUUUUGCUUGGCAGCGCACUGGGGAAAAGACAUUUCAAAAUGUAUUCCAUUGUCUCUGCUGGUGCUGGAGCGGCCGCCCGCCCCCGAGGCAGUCUCAGAGCGUCUCUUUGGAUCCGGGCGAGAGCGGGACCUCCCUGUGCCUCUAAAAGCGCAGCAAUAAUGAACAGGGAGAGAAAGUGCUUGUUGCCGAUCGCGGCUUAUUAUAUAGGUCUCCAAGCGUUCCGCAUGCCCCUGCUGAGGAAAUCAUGCCUUUGCCUGUGCCGGGAUUUAUGGCGCGGUUCAUUUGCAAGUGGAGAAGACAUGAAAGCUGGGAACGGACCAGCGCUAGCUGCUGAGACAGAUCCUGCAGGGUGUUUGAAAGGAGCAAAGUCCACGUCAUCCAACACCACAUCCAUAGCACCUGGCUGUAGAUUCAUUGCCUCCCUGCUUCACAUCCUUGGGCCGUUUGCUUGCCUUUGUUUGAAACCUGGUGCAUGGGAAAGCAAGAGCCUUGGAAGUGCUGGGGUUAGAAAGCACAGUUACAAGUGA